UAUAGUUAUAUAUGAGCUGCCGUGAUUGAAAACUUGAGCUACCUUUCUGGGGCAAAAUUGCUUGCAACUGGAUUUAAGGAAGAAGUUGGCAGAUAGUGAGUCAUUUACAAGGAUUUUUGUUGUUGCCCUUUGUACAUAUUUACAUGUUGUGUUCCUGAAAGUUUGAACAGAGAAAGUUAUGCUUUCUCCCUUCCUUAAUUGAGUUACUAAAGAAAAUAAAAUGCAUAUCCCAAGGAAUAUAUGGGCUUGUAGGUUUGGCUAGAAACUUGGAGAGACAGAAGAAGGCAGGGGGGAGAAAUGUCUUUAGGAAAAACACUAAUGGAAGAAGACGAUUCUGGAGAAUUUCAUCCCCAAUACUAACAUUUUACAGACGAGGGACAGCAAUUAGUGACUCACUUUUUCAAGGCUUGAAAGUUUUGUUUUCUUUUUAAAAGGGAUCUGUGAGGUUCUAGAGAAGGGGACAUGUGCUAGACACCGGAAGUACCAGGUAACUUCCUUCCUUCCCGAUCCGCCAUUGUUCUCCCGAUCACCUUGAAUCUGCUUUUCGGAGGGGUUUCCCUGGUUCACUCUCUUAUUCUUUCUCAGUCCUGAGGUUCUUUUCCCUCCAAAUAGAGGAGCCCGAGAAUCGUGACAUCUGUGCUCCUGACAACCAAGCCCCAGAUUCCAAGCAUGGCCAAUCUUCUCCAACUUCCAAUGUUUUCCACUUUAGGUUUAUUAUUAUUAGGAUUAACUGGAAUAUAUGGUCAACUGACUUGAAAGGGUCAAUAAUCGAUAUACCAUUUUGGCAAGAAGGCAAUGAGAAGGGAAAAAAAAUUCCUUCUUCAACGGUUACAAAAGGGAAUAUAGAUCAAGAGAGAAUGAAAAGGAAGUAAUCUUCAAAAUAUAUUUUUGUUACUGGACAAAUGAGGAAGAAAAAGAGAAGUAUUGCAUUGAUAGCAACAGAGACCCUUGACAUCAUAAUAUAGUUGAAAGAAUAAAGUAGAUUAUAAGAUUAAUAAACA
rnacentral:lncRNA from 1 species